rnacentral:rRNA from 1 species
GCUAAAAAUCUAGCCCUACAAAAACCUUACACACACCAACCACUCACAUUAUAAAUUGAAACAUCUUUGCACUAUAGUAUAGGAGAUAGAAAUAUUAAUCGGAGCUAUAAAAAUAGUACCGCAAGGGAAAAAUGAAAUAAAAAUGAAAUAAACUAAAGCACAAAAAAAUAAAGUUUAACCCUUGUACCUUCUGCAUUAUGGUUUAACUAGUCUUAAUCAAGCAAAAAGAAUUUAAGUUUGACCUCCCGAAACUAGACGAGCUACUUCAAGACAGCUUAAUGAGCAAACCCGUCUCUGUCGCAAAAGAGUGGGAAGAUCUUCAAGUAGAGGUGACAAACCAAACGAGCCUAGUGAUAGCUGGUUACCCAAUAAAAGGAUAUUAGUCCUACCUAAAAUUAAACUAACGUCAACAAACAAAACCACAUAUUUUAGGGGCAUUCAAAUAAGGUACAGCUUGUUUGAAACAGGAUACAACCUACAUCAACGGGUAAUUUUAAUAUUAACAUUUAAGUAGGCCUAAAAGCAGCCAUCUAUUUAAAAGCGUCAAAGCUUUAAUGUAAUUAAAUCAAAUCUCAUCAUUAAUUAAAAACCCUUACCCCCUACUGGGUGAUUCUAUAACAAUAUAGAACUCAUUAUGUUAAAACUAGUAACUAGAAGCCACACUUCUCUUAAAUGCAAGCAUAUGUCAGAUCGGAUAAACCACUGAUCAUUAACAUAUUUGAAACAUAAACAGUCACAACACUAGAAAACCCUUUUUAUUCACAUGUUAACCUAACACAAGAGCAUUUCAAGAAAGAUUUAAAGAAAAAGAAGGAACUCGGCAAACAUCAACCUCGCCUGUUUACCAAAAACAUCGCCUUUUGUUAAUACAUAAAAGGUCCAGCCUGCCCAGUGACCUAGUUCAACGGCCGCGGUAUCCUAACCGUGCGAAGGUAGCGUAAUCACUUGUUCUCUAAAUAAGGACUAGUAUGAAUGGCAUCACGAGGGUUUUACUGUCUCCUUUUUCUAAUCAGUGAAACUAAUCUCCCCGUGAAGAAGCGGGGAUUGAAAUAUAAGACGAAAAGACCCUUUGGAGCUUUAAACAAACUAACAAUUGUUACUAAUUACAAAUUUCAGAAGAUUAAAUAAGUAUACCACAAUGAUUACAAGUUUUUGGUUGGGGUGACCACGGAGUAAAAAACAACCUCCGAGCAGAACGAAGUUUCUUCUGAGCUAAAACCCACGACUUUACGCACCAAUAAAUUGACUUCUAUUGACCCAAUAUAUUGAUCAACGAACCAAGUUACCCUAGGGA